CUUCGGGGUGUGACUGCGUACCUUUUGUAUAAUGGGUCAGCGACUUAUAUUCUGUAGCAAGGUUAACCGAAUAGGGGAGCCGGAGGGAAACCGAGUCUUAAUUGGGCGUUAAGUUGCAGGGUAUAGACCCGAAACCCGGUGAUCUAGCCAUGGGCAGGUUGAAGGUUGGGUAACACUAACUGGAGGACCGAACCGACUAAUGUUGAAAAAUUAGCGGAUGACCUGUGGCUGGGGGUGAAAGGCCAAUCAAACCGGGAGAUAGCUGGUUCUCCCCGAAAGCUAUUUAGGUAGCGCCUCGUGAAUUCAUCUCCGGGGGUAGAGCACUGUUUCGGCUAGGGGGCCAUCCCGGCUUACCAACCCGAUGCAAACUGCGAAUACCGGAGAAUGUUAUCACGGGAGACACACGGCGGGUGCUAACGUCCGUCGUGAAGAGGGAAACAACCCAGACCGCCAGCUAAGGUCCCAAAGUCAUGGUUAAGUGGGAAACGAUGUGGGAAGGCCCAGACAGCCAGGAUGUUGGCUUAGAAGCAGCCAUCAUUUAAAGAAAGCGUAAUAGCUCACUGGUCGAGUCGGCCUGCGCGGAAGAUGUAACGGGGCUAAACCAUGCACCGAAGCUGCGGCAGCGAACGUAUCACCCAAGACAACUUUGCGGAGUUGACGAUUGACGGAGCGAAGCGACGUCAAAGCGUUCAUUAAAGUCGAGUUGGCUUAGGGAUACGUUCGUUGGGUAGGGGAGCGUUCUGUAAGCCUGUGAAGGUGUGCUGUGAGGCAUGCUGGAGGUAUCAGAAGUGCGAAUGCUGACAUAAGUAACGAUAAAGCGGGUGAAAAGCCCGCUCGCCGGAAGACCAAGGGUUCCUGUCCAACGUUAAUCGGGGCAGGGUGAGUCGACCCCUAAGGCGAGGCCGAAAGGCGUAGUCGAUGGGAAACGGGUUAAUAUUCCCGUACUUGGUGUUACUGCGAAGGGGGGACGGAGAAGGCUAUGUUGGCCGGGCGACGGUUGUCCCGGUUUAAGCGUGUAGGUGUGUGUUCCAGGUAAAUCCGGUUCACUUUAACACUGAGGCGUGACGACGAGGCACUACGGUGCUGAAGCAACAAAUGCCCUGCUUCCAGGAAAAGCCUCUAAGCAUCAGGUAACAUCAAAUCGUACCCCAAACCGACACAGGUGGUCAGGUAGAGAAUACCAAGGCGCUUGAGAGAACUCGGGUGAAGGAACUAGGCAAAAUGGUGCCGUAACUUCGGGAGAAGGCACGCUGACAUGUAGGUGAAGUGAUUUACUCAUGGAGCUGAAGUCAGUCGAAGAUACCAGCUGGCUGCAACUGUUUAUUAAAAACACAGCACUGUGCAAACACGAAAGUGGACGUAUACGGUGUGACGCCUGCCCGGUGCCGGAAGGUUAAUUGAUGGGGUCAGCGCAAGCGAAGCUCCUGAUCGAAGCCCCGGUAAACGGCGGCCGUAACUAUAACGGUCCUAAGGUAGCGAAAUUCCUUGUCGGGUAAGUUCCGACCUGCACGAAUGGCGUAAUGAUGGCCAGGCUGUCUCCACCCGAGACUCAGUGAAAUUGAACUCGCUGUGAAGAUGCAGUGUACCCGCGGCAAGACGGAAAGACCCCGUGAACCUUUACUAUAGCUUGACACUGAACAUUGAGCCUUGAUGUGUAG
rnacentral:rRNA from 1 species